UAGGCCNAAUAUUGGACAAUGGGCGAAAGCCUGAUCCAGCCAUGCCGCGUGUGUGAAGGUCUUCGGAUUGUAAAGCACUUUAAGUUGGGAGGAAGGGCAUUAACCUAAUNCNUUAGUGUNUUGACGUUACCGACAGAAUAAGCACCGGCUAACUCUGUGCCAGCAGCCGCGGUAAUACAGAGGGUGCAAGCGUUAAUCGGAAUUACUGGGCGUAAAGCGCGCGUAGGUGGUUCGUUAAGUUGGAUGUGAAAGCCCCGGCUCAACCUGGGAACUGCAUUCAAAACUGUCGAGCUAGAGUAUGGUAGANGGUGGUGGAAUUUCCUGUGUAGCGGNGAAAUGCGUAGAUAUAGGAAGGAACACCAGUGGCGAANGCGACCACCUGGACUGAUACUGACACUGAGGUGCGAAAGCGUNGNGAGCAAACAGGAUUAGAUACCCUGGUAGUNCACGCCGUAAACGAUGUCAACUAGCCGUUGGGAGCCUUGAGCUCUUAGUGGCGCAGCUAACGCAUUNAGUUGACCGCUGGNGAGUACCGGCCGCAAGGUUAAAACUCAAAU
rnacentral:rRNA from 1 species